GACGAACGCUGGCGGCGUGCUUAACACAUGCAAGUCGAACGGGAAGAAAAAGAAGAGCUUGCUCUUUUUUGGAUUCUAGUGGCAAACGGGUGAGUAACACGUAAACAACCUGCCUUCAGGAUGGGGACAACAGACGGAAACGACUGCUAAUACCGAAUACCUUCCAAUUUCCGCAUGGAGAUAGGAAGAAAGGGUGGCCUCUACUUGUAAGCUAUCGCCUGAAGAGGGGUUUGCGUCUGAUUAGCUAGUUGGUGAGGUAACGGCCCACCAAGGCGACGAUCAGUAGCCGGUCUGAGAGGAUGAACGGCCACACUGGAACUGAGACACGGUCCAGACUCCCACGGGAGGCAGCAGUGGGGAAUCUUCCGCAAUGGACGAAAGUCUGACGGAGCAACGCCGCGUGAACGAUGAAGGUCUUCGGAUUGUAAAGUUCUGUGAUCCGGGACGAAGGCAUCAAUUGAGAAUAUUGAUUGAUGUUGACGGUACCGGAAAAGCAAGCCACGGCUAACUACGUGCCAGCAGCCGCGGUAA
rnacentral:rRNA from 1 species